AGAGUUGAUUAUGGCUCAGGAUGAACGCUAGCGACAGGCUUAACACAUGCAAGUCGAGGGGCAGCACGGGAGUAGCAAUACAACUGGUGGCGACCGGCGCACGGGUGAGUAACGCGUAUGCAACCUACCUAUCAGAGGGGAAUAACCCGGCGAAAGUCGGACUAAUACCGCAUAAAACAGGGGCACCGCAUGGUGAUAUUUGUUAAAGAGAUUCGCUGAUAGAUGGGCAUGCGUUCCAUUAGGUAGUUGGUGAGGUAACGGCUCACCAAGCCGACGAUGGAUAGGGGAACUGAGAGGUUGGUCCCCCACACUGGUACUGAGACACGGACCAGACUCCUACGGGAGGCAGCAGUGAGGAAUAUUGGUCAAUGGGCGGGAGCCUGAACCAGCCCAUGCCGCGUGCAGGAUGACGGCCCUACGGGUUGUAAACUGCUUUUCCCCGGGAAGAAUAAGCCCCUCGUGAGGGGUGAUGCCGGUACCGGGGGAAUAAGGAUCGGCUAACUCCGUGCCAGCCGCGGC
rnacentral:rRNA from 1 species